rnacentral:lncRNA from 1 species
AGGAUGAGGUUGUGUUGGGUCGGUAGCAUCGGGGGACGCCGAUAUUAGUUGUCGCUACUUAAGAAAAGUAAGUUAAUCGUCGAUGGUGGUGAUGGUCGAGAGACUCCGACGAGAAUGGAUUUGGUUGCCGAUAUUGGUGACAGUAAAUGAUGGUAUUUCUAUGUGUGUAAGUGGCCUAUUAAGGGUCGAAAGGUAGGCGGUUUAUUGAUAGUCGCCGAUAUUGAUGACGGAUGUGAAUAUUUGUACGCUUGGGGUGAGGUUGGGGGGUGGUUACACAUGGUAUGUAUGGUAUUUAGGAUACCGGAGUACUUUUUAGUCCUGCGUAGUCCCAUAGUGAUGUGGGUGAUGGGGUACAUAUAGAAAUACUUGAUUUCAUAUUCGAUGCAUAUCAUAAUUGUAACUUAAUUUUUACUGUACUGAGUUAGAUGAACUCACCAUCUGUUGUUCACAAACGAUGUAGGAAUAGAGUCGGGAUCGGAGUUGCUGGUUUCCGAACUUAGCGUAUAGAGCAACAGAAUAAGAAUCUUUAUGGACAUAUUAAAUGUAUAAAAGUUGGUAGUAGAGUUGAUAGUAUGCUUGUUGAUAGUGUAUACGGUUGUAUUUCACGUGAUGUUAUAUGUGUGAUUGCCGAUCUAUCUUAACUCUGAACAAUAGUUUGUGAUGAUGUUUCUAUGUGCAUGUCUAACCUGAAACGAAAUUUUUAUAUUUGAUCAUGGAUCUGUUGUAAACUACGCCAUUAUAAAUAAAUAAAAAAAAUGGGGCAUUACAUAAACAUUAGUGAUUAAAUUCU